ensembl:lncRNA
ACGAUUCAUUCACAAAUUAGAAUGAUCCGAUUGCAGCUGUUCUAGAGUCAACAACUCACUGAUUCAAUUGAACCGUUUAGUGCGAGUCUCCAGUGAACUCAAUUCACAAGUAAGAACCGGGAGAUCUUGUGAUCGCGCGCGCGACUGAUGCUGCUAAAAUGUCCGUCCAAACAUCCUUAAAAAAAGAGAUUCGGAUUCAUGGCAAAUCCAAGGACAGCAGUGAACACAGUGGCCAUCAGAGAUCUCUGUAGGUUGUGGAUCCGUUCAUCGUCACUACAUGCUAACCUUGCAGCCCACGCCGC